UAAACAAAUAGUAAUAUGACAGAUGAAGCGUGUAUGAGAGUAAGUAAAAGU
rnacentral:guide_RNA from 1 species